GGGGAUGAAAGGAUUUCGACAGAUUUGGUGAGCCUUGGUCAGCGAGUAGAGGAGUUGCACCUCUAUAAAAGUAACACUUUAAAAUUAACUGACAACAAUAGAUCAGUAGCUCUCGCUGCGUAAUUAGCAGCUUGCGUUCUCCCAAAGAGUGCCACGGCUUUGGAUAGAGCGUCGACUUAGUGGCGAACAUGAACGGGAGAGCGCCUCGGCUCUCGUCAGGUAUUAGAGGAUACCGUAGCGUAUAGGCUGUUUGUCGCCGAUACGUGAGGGGAUAACUUAAACGAUAAACUACACUCGUAGAACCCUUGGUAAGCCAAUUUUGGACGCGGUUUCGAUUACCGCCAUCUCCACCA
rfam:Eubacterium sp. CAG:251 genomic scaffold, scf57